GGGGUGCAGCAGGCGCGAAAACUUUACNNUNNGGGAAACCGNGGAUNAGGGGACGCCCGAGUGCCAGCACCCUAGUGCUGGCUGUCCCNCUGUUCAAAAAACAGUGGUUAGCAAGGGCCGGGCAAGACCGGUGCCAGCCGCCGCGGUAACNCCGGCGGCCCGAGUGGUAUCCGUUAUUAUUGGGUUUAAAGGGUCCGUAGCCGGCUUACUAAGUCUNUUGGGAAAUCUGGCGGCUUAAUCGUCAGGCGGCCAAGAGAUACUGGUAGGCUUGGGACCGGGAGAGGUGGGAGGUACUCCAGGGGUAGGGGUGAAAUCUCGUAAUCCUUGGGGGCCCACCGAUGGCGAAGGCAUCCCACCAGAACGGGUCCGACGGUGAGGGACGAAAGCUGGGGGCACGAACCGGAUUAGAUACCCGGGUAGUCCCAGCUGUAAACGAUGCUCGCUAGGUGUCAGGUGCGGUGCGACCGCAUCUGGUGCCGCAGUGAAAACUUGAAGCGAGUCACCUGGGAAGUACGGUCGCAAGGCUGAAACUUAAAGGAAANGGCGGGGGAGCACCACAA
rnacentral:rRNA from 1 species